rnacentral:rRNA from 1 species
CUCCGUGACUCCUACGGGAGGCAGCAGUGGGGAAUAUUGCACAAUGGGCGCAAGCCUGAUGCAGCAACGCCGUGUGAGUGAAGAAGGUUUUCCGGAUCGUAAAACUCUGUCCUAAGGGAAGAAACAAAUGACGGUACCUUAGGAGGAAGCCCCGGCUAACUACGUGCCAGCAGCCGCGGUAAUACGUAGGGGGCAAGCGUUAUCCGGAAUCACUGGGCGUAAAGGGUGCGUAGGCGGCUUAGCAAGCCAGGGGUGAAAGGCAUUGGCUCAACCAAUGUAAGCCUUUGGAACUGUUAAGCUUGAGUGCAGGAGAGGUAAGUGGAAUUCCUAGUGUAGAGGUGAAAUUCGUAGAUAUUAGGAGGAACACCAGUGGCGAAGGCGACUUACUGGACUGUAACUGACGCUGAUGCACGAAAGCGUGGGUAGCGAACAGGAUUAGAUACCCUGUAG